rnacentral:rRNA from 1 species
UCCCAACUUCGGUUAUAAGAUCCCUCGAAGAUGACGAGGUUAAUAGGUUCGAGGUGGAAGCGUGGUGACACGUGGAGCUGACGAAUACUAAUCGAUCGAAGACUUAAUCAAU